AACGAACGCUGGCGGCAUGCCUAACACAUGCAAGUCGAACGAUCCCUUCGGGGAUAGUGGCGCACGGGUGCGUAACGCGUGGGAACCUGCCCUUAGGUUCGGAAUAACUCAGAGAAAUUUGAGCUAAUACCGGAUAAUGUCUUCGGACCAAAGAUUUAUCGCCUUUGGAUGGGCCCGCGUUGGAUUAGCUAGUUGGUGGGGUAAAGGCCUACCAAGGCGACGAUCCAUAGCUGGUCUGAGAGGAUGAUCAGCCACACUGGGACUGAGACACGGCCCAGACUCCUACGGGAGGCAGCAGUGGGGAAUAUUGGACAAUGGGCGAAAGCCUGAUCCAGCAAUGCCGCGUGAGUGAUGAAGGCCUUAGGGUUGUAAAGCUCUUUUACCCGGGAUGGUAAUGACAGUACCGGGAGAAUAAGCCCCGGCUAACUCCGUG
rnacentral:rRNA from 1 species